UCGGAAUAAAUCACAUUAUUGUCGAUGAAGUUUAUUUUUAGUAUUGGUGGUGUCGUGCACAGGGAGAACAGGCAGGCAGAGGCAGGCAGGCAGGCAGGCAAGCAGAUAUGCGUCGCUGCAUCUCUCGAUCCCGCCGCCGCGCCGAUUGUAUCGCGCGACGGAGUGCGCGUUCGCGUGCAUUCACAAUGCAACACGCACGGUCGGCGCGGAUACCGGUUGCUGGAAAAUAUACUGCGAUCGGACGAGCGGAAUGGGCGCGGAAGGCACGAAAGAGGCGAGCGCAGCGGGGUCGUGAAAACUGUCGAUGCGGAACGACACUGCCAAGGCAAAUAGUUGCCUCGCGCUCGCCAUCGACGGCGGAAAGCUGCGCGACGAAUCUCUCUCUCUCCCCAUGGAUAUCUCUUCCCUCCUGAAUUAUUCCAGAACUUGUAACGGAACUCCAAAUUACGUGUCACAAACAAUGGGAUUAAUAGUCGGUCGUGAAAUAUAAAUUAGCGUAACCGAAGUAGAGAGAAGAGAAGGACGAGCUGCUCGAUUACGAAUGCAACGCGCGCGGGAGGUACGACGUUCCUCUUCAUCGAUAGCUCCCUUUCCCGUGAUCCCGCGACCGGUUAUUGCAUUUCCGGCCGAAUACGCUUCGAUAACGCCGAGAUUGUACAGUGAGAAUACAGUUUGAUAAGAAGAAGAAGGAACGGUAUAUCGUUAAACGGUAUCGUCAAAAAUUUUGAUGACGUGUCGAGAGGCAGGAUCGGGAGAAAAUUGCGAGGGUUAACGACGGUCUCGCAAUUAGAAGAGGAUCGAUCUAGCGCGACGGCCACACGGGAUUGAGGACUUUCUACUCCGUCUCCGUUAUAGCGUAACGGUAUAUCGCGAUACUCUGGUGUACUGUCGGCCACUGUACCGGCCUUACAUAUGUGUAUGCAUACGUACAUCGAUAGCGACAGGAUGUCGGUAACCGCAAAUGACAGCGACGACGAGGACGACGACAGUGAGACGCGAUUUCUAACGCGAAGUGCAAACAGUAAAGCACGUAUAAUAUGGCAUUCCAACACGUCUCCCGAGAAACGCCUAACGAAAGCACGUACCUGCUUGAUUUCCCUCUACGGCUGCAAUAUUGUUACUUAUGUAUAUACAGGAAGUCUUAAAAUAGAUCUUAUUGCCGAAAAGAAGAUAUAAUAUAAAAAAAUAAAAUCAAAAUUCAAAUUUUCGCAUGAAGCGUCAUACUUUUAAGAAAAGUGACCUUAAAAAUCAAAGAAUAACACUUAUAUACGCUUAAGUUUGAUGGCUAUUACAUAUAAAUAAAAAAAAUACAUUUUCUCUUUCUCUCUCUCUCUCUCUCAAUUUAAUAGAACAAUAUAAAAUAAUAAACAAUAUAAAUUACUAGAAAGAUUUUAUCUAUGAAAUAUCAAGAUCAUUUUUAUUUCUUCAAUGUUGUGUCUAUUUAUAGGGAAACGUGCUUAUUUGGAUCCUGAUAAAGCAAUAAUAUCAGAUCCCGACAACUAAAUCAGGCAAACCUUAUAUGAUCCUCACUUGGAUCCUACCUUAAUUUCUAGUCGGGAUAAUGCAAAGUCUACAGAAAUUAUUCAAGUUUAAAAAAGUAUCAGUAUAUAUUAUCUAUUAAUUAUCAGUUAUUUUUCGCAAAAAAGAAUCUCUGACGAAGAAAUAGUAGUAGCUGUACAUUCUAAUGUGGAAUAACUUCAAAUAAUUAUAUUUAUAUUUGGAAACUUGAGUACAAUGUAUUUUAUAAGUUAUAUGAUUGUUUUCUUCAUUAUAACGGUAUAUUUGUUUUAAAACUGAUCUUGAAUCUUUCUUUUCUUUCCUUCUAUUUCCUUUCAGAUGCAUUACAAUACAAGUAUAAAAAACUAACUUCUUUUUAAAAAAAAAAAUAGAAAAAUCAAUAUUUGGCAAGAAUUCGCGAGUGCUUAUCAUUUUCCAUAAAUCGCAAACAUGUUUCGUAAAAAUGUGAUAAAACGACGGUUGGGAUAUGCAACACGGCAUUUUCGGAUUGACACCUUCGUGCAAAAAUUUAUCGCACUUACCCGAGGAUCAUAAAAUAAUUUAUCGAUGAUCGAAAAAAAUGUCAGUUGCACCAGGCGAGUAAAUUUCAUACUAAAUCGCACUAUAAUAACAAAUAUAAUAACUUCGUUAUAUA